CCUACGGGAGGCAGCAGUGAGGAAUAUUGGUCAAUGGGCGGGAGCCUGAACCAGCCAAGCCGCGUGAGGGAAGAAGGUACAGCGUAUCGUAAACCUCUUUUGUCAGGGAACAAAGGCGGGGACUAGUACCAGGAUGAGGGUACCUGAAGAAAAAGCAUCGGCUAAGUCCGUGCCAGCAGCCGCGGUAAUACGGGGGAUGGGAGCGUUAUCCGGAUUUAUUGGGUUUAAAGGGUGCGCAGGCGGCCUGUUAAGUCAGCGGUAAAAGGCCGGGGCUCAACCCCGGCGAGGCGUUGAAACUGGCGGGCUGGAGUUGGAGAGAAGUACGCGGAAUGCGCGGUGUAGCGGUGAAAUGCUUAGAUAUCGCGCAGAACCCCGAUUGCGAAGGCAGCGUACCGGCUCCACACUGACGCUGAGGCACGAAAGCGUGGGUAUCGAACAGGAUUAGAUACCCUAGUAGUC
rnacentral:rRNA from 1 species